rnacentral:tRNA from 3 species
GGAGAGGUUCCCGAGCGGCCAAAGGGGACGGGCUGUAAACCCGUUGGUUCAGCCUUCGGAGGUUCGAAUCCUCCCCUCUCCACCA